CACCUUUUGACAUGCCUGGACAAACCGAGAGAUCGGUCUUUCCCUUCGGGGACUGGGACACAGGUGCUGCAUGGCUGUCGUCAGCUCGUGUCGUGAGAUGUUGGGUUAAGUCCCGCAACGAGCGCAACCCUCGCUGUUAGUUGCCAUCAUUUAGUUGGGAACUCUAACAGGACUGCCGGUGCUAAGCCGGAGGAAGGUGGGGAUGACGUCAAGUCCUCAUGGCCCUUACAAGGUGGGCUACACACGUGCUACAAUGGUGACUACAGAGGGCAAAUCCCUAAAAGUCAUCUCAGUUCGGAUCGUCCUCUGCAACUCGAGGGCGUGAAGUUGGAAUCGCUAGUAAUCGCGGAUCAGCAUGCCGCGGUGAAUA
rnacentral:rRNA from 1 species